rnacentral:lncRNA from 1 species
GCGGCUAAAACUCGCUCUGAUGGAAUACAGUGUUGCCAAAUUUUGGCUGACAGAAAUGUCACUUUUGGCGGGCAAUUCAAAUUUCAUCAUUUCAGUAUUUAUGGAGGACGGAGGCUACUGAUUGAUAAUUCCGUUCAUCUUAGAUGUGUUCAAUUGUAUGUAAUUAUUAUAAUAUGUAUAAUAUGCAAAUAUUUGUUUGUAUGAUUGUUUUUAGACUACAAAUAACAGAGAUAUAAUAUAAUACCAUACAUUAAUUAAAGAAUAGGAU